CCUACGGGGGGCUGCAGUGGGGAAUAUUGGACAAUGGGGGGAACCCUGAUCCAGCCAUGCCGCGUGUGUGAAGAAGGCCCUCGGGUUGUAAAGCACUUUCAGUGAGGAAGAACGCCUAGUGGUUAAUACCCAUCAGGAAAGACAUCACUCACAGAAGAAGCACCGGCUAACUCCGUGCCAGCAGCCGCGGUAAUACGGAGGGUGCGAGCGUUAAUCGGAAUUACUGGGCGUAAAGCGCGCGUAGGUGGCUUGAUAAGCCGGUUGUGAAAGCCCCGGGCUCAACCUGGGAACGGCAUCCGGAACUGUCAAGCUAGAGUGCAGGAGAGGAAGGUAGAAUUCCCGGUGUAGCGGUGAAAUGCGUAGAGAUCGGGAGGAAUACCAGUGGCGAAGGCGGCCUUCUGGACUGACACUGACACUGAGGUGCGAAAGCGUGGGUAGCAAACAGGAUUAGAUACCCUGGUAGUC
rnacentral:rRNA from 1 species